rnacentral:piRNA from 1 species
UGACCCUGGGCCUAGUGGGAUUGAUCAGC